AAAAACGGGUGGGCUAUAGCCUUGGUGGGGGGCGCGGGCGAAGUUUGUCCGCCGGACUCGGAAUGGGGCGAGACUUUGCGAGGGGCCUCGGGGUGCCCGUGGGAAGUCGCGGGCACAGCCGCGUCCAAAAAUAAGCGCCCGAAGGUCGUGGUGCCAAAACCCCCCAGCGGAAAAAUGGCCAAAAAACGGGUGGGCUAUAGCCUUGGUGGGGGGCGCGGGCGAAGCUCGUCCGCCGGACUCGGAAUGGGGCGAGACUUUGCGCAGGGCCUCGGGGCGCCAAAAAUAAGCCGAGGGCAAAGCCGCGCCCAAAAAUAAGCGCCCGAAGGUCGUGGUGCCAAAUACCCCCAGCGGAAAAAUGGCCAAAAAACGGGUGGGCUAUAGCCUUGGUGGGGGGCGCGGGCGAAGUUCGUCCGCCGGACUCGGAAUGGGGCGAGACUUUGCGCGGGGCCUCGGGGCGCCAAAAAUAAGCCGCGGGCAAAGCUGCGCCCAAAAAUAAGCUCCCGAAGGUCGUGGUACCAAAACCCCCCAGCGGAAAAAUGGCAAAAAAAUGGGUGGGCUAUAGCCUUGGUGGGGGGCGCGGGCGAAGUUCGUCCGCCAGACUCGGAAUGGGGCGAGACUUUGCGAGGGGCCUCGGGGCACCAAAAAUAAGCCGCGGGCAAAGCCGCGCCCAAAAAUAAGCGCCCGAAGGUCGUGGUGCCAAAACCCCCCAGCGGAAAAAUGGCCUAAAAACGGGUGGGCUAUAGCCUUGGUGGGGGGCGCGGGCGAAGUUCGUCCGCCGGACUCGGAAUGGGGCGAGACUUUGCGAGGGGCCUCGGGGUGCCCGCGGGAAGUCGCGGGCACN
rnacentral:lncRNA from 1 species